rnacentral:rRNA from 1 species
AUCGGCCACACUGGGACUGAGACACGGCCCAGACUCCUACGGGAGGCAGCAGUAGGGAAUCUUCCGCAAUGGACGAAAGUCUGACGGAGCAACGCCGCGUGAGCGAUGAAGGCCUUCGGGUCGUAAAGCUCUGUUGUUAGGGAAGAACAAGUACGAGAGUAACUGCUCGUACCUUGACGGUACCUAACCAGAAAGCCCCGGCUAACUACGUGCCAGCAGCCGCGGUAAUACGUAGGGGGCAAGC